rnacentral:tRNA from 1 species
GGCGGUUUAGCUUAAUGGUUUAGAGCACCGCGACGCGUAAUUACAAAAGCGUGAGUUCAAGUCUCACAGCCGGCC